GUCUCAGGCAGAGCUACUCUAGUAAAUGUGUGGAGCAGAACUCCAGGUGUUAGGCGGAGGAGGGUGGAAAGGAGCCACUCCGCUUCAAAAGGGAGCUAAAAAUAACAAAAGAAAGUGGACCGAAGUAUUAAAGAUUCCACCGAGAAGCAAACAACGUGGUCGUCGACAAUUCAAGGCCCCUGUUCUAGACUCAGCAGAUCUUACUCAACCCCCACUCAACACAUAUGAAAGAUCCAAUGAGGAACUCUGUUAUUCAUCCCUACAGUUCAUUCUGCUUUAUCUGCUCCGGUAGCCACAGCAACAACCCAUUCUCCAAGAGACCACACCAGAGGUAAUAUUGCUGCUGUGUCCACUGGAACUGCUCUCCAUCGCCGCCCGCUCUUCUCUCAUCAGCGGGAUUAUAAAUCAUUCCUUCAGCUUCACUCCUACUUUGGCUUAGCUGAUGAGAAACUUUGACGCAUUGACUUUACUUCUUCUCGAGAAGCACGUUAUUCUGUAAUUGGAUGUUGGUUAAGCAUUAGAGCAAGAAAAAUGUAUCUGUUUUUAUAUUUCUUCAAUUGAAGCUUGUAUUAUAAGAGAAAUAAAUUGCUUUUAUAAUUAUUAAUGGACUGUGUAUUUUCAAGAUCACUGUGGCCAACAGAUUAUGCAAAACGAAGAAUAUCCUCAGUGAACCUCGUCAAUGAAACUGACAUGGCAUUUCAUUUUCUCAUUUAAAUC
ensembl:lncRNA